rnacentral:rRNA from 1 species
GGGUUGUGAGGUUAAGCGAAUAAGCGUACACGGUGGAUGCCUAGGCAAUCAGAGGCGAUGAAGGACGUGCUAAUCUGCGAAAAGCGUCGGUAAGGUGAUAUGAACCGCUAUACCCGACGAUAUCCGAAUGGGGAAACCCAGUAUCCAAUGGAUACUAUCAUUAACUGAAUCCAUAGGUUAAUGAGGCGAACCGGGAGAACUGAAACAUCUCAGUACCCCGAGGAAAAGAAAUCAACCGAGAUUCCCCUAGUAGCGGCGAGCGAACGGGGAGCAGCCCAGAGUCUUAAUCAAUAGCAGUGUCAGGAGAACGGUCUGGAAAGUCCGGCAGUAAAGGGUGAUAGCCCCGUAUCUGAAGAUGCUGUUAUUGUGAACUCGACGAGUAGGGCGGGACACGUGUUAUCCUGUCUGAAUAUGGGGGGACCAUCCUCCAAGGCUAAAUACUCCUGAUUGACCGAUAGUGAACCAGUACCGUGAGGGAAAGGCGAAAAGAACCCCGGCGAGGGGAGUGAAAAAGAACCUGAAACCGUGUACGUACAAGCAGUAGGAGCCUCUUUAUGGGGUGACUGCGUACCUUUUGUAUAAUGGGUCAGCGACUUAUAUUCUGUAGCGAGGUUAACCGUAUAGGGGAGCCGUAGGGAAACCGAGUCUUAACUGGGCGAAUGAGUUGCAGGGUAUAGACCCGAAACCCGGUGAUCUAUCCAUGGGCAGGUUGAAGGUUGGGUAACACUAACUGGAGGACCGAACCGACUAAUGUUGAAAAAUUAGCGGAUGACUUGUGGAUGGGGGUGAAAGGCCAAUCAAACCGGGAGAUAGCUGGUUCUCCCCGAAAGCUAUUUAGGUAGCGCCUCGUGAACUCAUCUUCGGGGGUAGAGCACUGUUUCGACUAGGGGGUCAUCCCGACUUACCAACUCGAUGCAAACUGCGAAUACCGAAGAAUGUUAUCACGGGAGACACACGGCGGGUGCUAACGUCCGUCGUGAAGAGGGAAACAACCCAGACCGCCAGCUAAGGUCCCAAAGUCAUGGUUAAGUGGGAAACGAAGUGGGAAGGCUCAGACAGCCAGGAUGUUGGCUUAGAAGCAGCCAUCAUUUAAAGAAAGCGUAAUAGCUCACUGGUCGAGUCGGCCCGCGCGGAAGAUGUAACGGGGCUAAACCAUGCACCGAAGCUGCGGCAGCGACACAAAGUGUUGUUGGGUAGGGGAGCGUUCUGUAAGCCUGCGAAGGUGUACUGUGAGGUAUGCUGGAGGUAUCAGAAGUGCGAAUGCUGACAUAAGUAACGAUAAUGCGGGUGAAAAACCCGCACGCCGGAAGACCAAGGGUUCCUGUCCAACGUUAAUCGGGGCAGGGUGAGUCGACCCCUAAGGCGAGGCUGAAAAGCGUAGUCGAUGGGAAACGGGUUAAUAUUCCCGUACUGGUGGUAACUGCGAUGGGGGAACGGAGAAGGCUAGGUUGUCCGGGCGACGGUCGUCCCGGUUCAAGCAGGUAGGCAGAGUGAUUAGGCAAAUCCGGUCACUUAAUGCUGAGAUGUGAUGACGAACCACCAAGGUGGUGAAGCAAUUGAUGCCCCGCUUCCAGGAAAAGCCUCUAAGCUUCAGGUUACCAACAAUCGUACCCCAAACCGACACAGGUGGUCAGGUAGAGAAUACUCAGGCGCUUGAGAGAACUCGGGUGAAGGAACUAGGCAAAAUGGUGCCGUAACUUCGGGAGAAGGCACGCUGGCGGUAGGUAAAGUCCCUCGCGGACGGCGCUGAAGCCAGUCGAAGAUACCAGCUGGCUGCAACUGUUUAUUAAAAACACAGCACUGUGCAAACACGAAAGUGGACGUAUACGGUGUGACGCCUGCCCGGUGCUGGAAGGUUAAUUGAUGGGGUUAGCGCAAGCGAAGCUCCUGAUCGAAGCCCCAGUAAACGGCGGCCGUAACUAUAACGGUCCUAAGGUAGCGAAAUUCCUUGUCGGGUAAGUUCCGACCUGCACGAAUGGCGUAAUGAUGGCCAGGCUGUCUCCACCCGAGACUCAGUGAAAUUGAACUCGCUGUGAAGAUGCAGUGUACCCGCGGCAAGACGGAAAGACCCCGUGAACCUUUACUAUAGCUUGACACUGAACAUUGAGCCUUGAUGUGUAGGAUAGGUGGGAGGCUUUGAAGUGUGGACGCCAGUCUGCAUGGAGCCAACCUUGAAAUACCACCCUUUAACGUUUGAUGUUCUAACCUAGGCCCAUAAACUGGGUCGGGGACCGUGUCUGGUGGGUAGUUUGACUGGGGCGGUCUCCUCCUAAAGAGUAACGGAGGAGCACGAAGGUUGGCUAAGCAUGGUCGGACAUCAUGCGGUUAGUGCAAAGGCAUAAGCCAGCUUGACUGCGAGAGUGACGGCUCGAGCAGGUACGAAAGUAGGUCUUAGUGAUCCGGUGGUUCUGAAUGGAAGGGCCAUCGCUCAACGGAUAAAAGGUACUCCGGGGAUAACAGGCUGAUACCGCCCAAGAGUUCAUAUCGACGGCGGUGUUUGGCACCUCGAUGUCGGCUCAUCACAUCCUGGGGCUGAAGUAGGUCCCAAGGGUAUGGCUGUUCGCCAUUUAAAGUGGUACGCGAGCUGGGUUUAGAACGUCGUGAGACAGUUCGGUCCCUAUCUGCCGUGGGCGUUGGAAGAUUGAGAGGGGUUGCUCCUAGUACGAGAGGACCGGAGUGAACGCACCACUGGUGUUCGGGUUGUCAUGCCAAUGGCAUUGCCCGGUAGCUAAGUGCGGAAGAGAUAACCGCUGAAAGCAUCUAAGCGGGAAACUUGCCUCGAGAUGAGUCUUCCCUGUCGCUUUAAGCGACCUAAAGGAACGUUUAAGACUAAGACGUUGAUAGGCUGGGUGUGUAAGCGUAGCGAUACGUUGAGCUAACCAGUACUAAUGAACCGUGAGGCUUAACCUGACAACACCGAAAGUGUUUUG